UUUCCGUAGGUGAACCUGCGGAAGGAUCAUUACUGAGUGAGGGCCCCUCGGGGUUCAACCUCCCACCCGUGUUUAACGAACCUUGUUGCUUCGGCGGGCCCGCCUCACGGCCGCCGGGGGGCAUCUGCCCCCGGGCCCGCGCCCGCCGAAGCCACCUGUGAACGCUGUCUGAAGUAUGCAGUCUGAGACAAUUAUUAAAUUAAUUAAAACUUUCAACAACGGAUCUCUUGGUUCCG
rnacentral:misc_RNA from 1 species